UAGCAUGCACAGAUGUGUCCCAUGGGUAGUAAGGUAGCAUGCACAGAUGUGUCCCAUGGGUAGUAAGGUAGCAUGCACAGAUGUGUCCCAAGGGCAGUAAGGUAGCAUGCACAGAUGUGUCCCAUGGGUAGUAAGGUAGCAUGCACAGAUGUGUCCCAAGGGUAGUAAGGUAGCAUGCACAGAUGUGUCCCAAGGGUAGUAAGGUAGCAUGCACAGAUGUGUCCCAAGGGUAGUAAGGUAGCAUGCACAGAUGUGUCCCAAGGGUAGUAAGUUAGCAUGCACAGAUGUGUCCCAAGGGUAGUAAGUUAGCAUGCACAGAUGUGUCCCAAGGGUAAUAAGUUAGCCUGCACUUAUGUGUCCCAAGGAUGAUAAAUCUGCAUGCACAGAUACUGAAGAGAAGCAACAGGAUUGGCACAUCAAUGGCCAGAAAAGAACAAUAUAUAAAUCAAUUAAGUAACAGUACUGGGCCAAUAGUGUGGGUCAAUCCUAACCUACAAUUAAUAGUUAUGUUCCAGAAUUGAACCAGAAACCCUGGGAUCUAAUUAUUACAUAAAUAUGUCAAGCUGGUUCAUUCACAAAGAUUUGAAAUAAAUGUAUCUUUGGACCUACAAUGUUUUUGAUCUUGAUCAAAUGACGUG